rnacentral:rRNA from 1 species
UGGGGAAUAUUGCACAAUGGGCGAAAGCCUGAACCUGCGACGCCGCGUGAGUGAUGAAGGUCGUAAGAUCGUAAAACUCUUUUCAGGGAUCUUAAAGCCUGUCUGUCAACAACAGGCAGGUCUGACUCUCCCUGGAAGAAGCCCCAGCCAACUACGUGCCAGCAGCUGCGGUAAUACGUAGGGGGCGAGCGUUAUUCGGAAUUACUGGGUGUAAAGGGUAUGUAGGCGGCCCUUCAAGUCGCGUGUCAAAGUACAGUGCUCAACGCUGGGUGUGCACGCGAUACUGACGGGCUUGAGGGCUGGAGAGGGUAGCGGAAUUCCCGGUGUAGUGGUAAAAUACGUAGAGAUCGUGAGGAACACCAGCGGCGCAGGCGGCUCACUAGACAGUUUCUGACGCUAAGAUACGAAAGCGUGGGGAGCAAACA